rnacentral:siRNA from 1 species
UGAGGCUGAGCGACAUGGA